rnacentral:rRNA from 1 species
CAGCCGCCGCGGGAAUACGGAGGGAGCUAGCGUUGUUCGGAAUUACUGGGCGUAAAGCGCGCGUGGGCGGUUACUCAAGUCAGAGGUGAAAGCCCGGGGCUCAACCCCGGAACUGCCUUUGAAACUAGGUGACUAGAAUCUUGGAGAGGUCAGUGGAAUUCCGAGUGUAGAGGUGAAAUUCGUAGAUAUUCGGAAGAACACCAGUGGCGAAGGCGACUGACUGGACAAGUAUUGACGCUGAGGUGCGAAAGCGUGGGGAGCAAACAGGAUUAGAGACCCGCGUAGUCCCUGUCUCUUAUAC